rnacentral:rRNA from 1 species
AGUGGCAGACGGGUGAGUAACACGUAGGUAACCUGCCCUCGAGACGGGGAUAACGGCUGGAAACGGUCGCUAAGACCCGAUAUAGUCUGACCUUCGGGAGAAGGUGAGAGGAAAGGCUUCGGUGCUCUGGGGAGGGGCCUGCGGCCCAUCAGCUAGUUGGAGAGGUAACGGCUCCCCAAGGCAAUGACGGGUAGGGGGUGUGAGAGCAUGGNCCCCCACACUGGGACUGAGACACGGCCCAGACUCCUACGGGAGGCAGCAGCAGGGAAUAUUGCGCAAUGGACGGAAGUCUGACGCAGCGACGCCGCGUGGAUGAUGAAGGCCUUCGGGUUGUAAAAUCCUUUUCCGGGCGAUGAGGAAGGACACUAGCCUGGGAAUAAGCGUCGGCUAACUACGUGCCAGCAGCCGCGGUUAAGACGUAGGGACGCGAGCCGUUAUCCGGGAUUUACUGGGGCGUAAAGCGCCUGCAGGCGGUCAGGUAAAGUCGGUUGUGAAAGCCCCGUGCUCAACGCGGGGAGGCCAAGCGAUACUGCGUGACUUGAGGGCGGAAGAGGGGAGUGGAAUUCCCGCGUGUAGCGCGUAAAAUUGCGCAGGAUAUCGGGGAGGAACACCA